rnacentral:rRNA from 2 species
GCUUGCUGGGUGGAAGAGUGGCGAACGGGUGAGUAACACGUGAGUAACCUGCCCUGAACUCUGGGAUAAGCACUGGAAACGGUGUCUAAUACUGGAUACGACCUAUCACCGCAUGGUGUGUGGGUGGAAAGAUUUAUCGGUUUUGGAUGGACUCGCGGCCUAUCAGCUAGAUGGUGAGGUAAUGGCUCACCAUGGCGACGACGGGUAGCCGGCCUGAGAGGGUGACCGGCCACACUGGGACUGAGACACGGCCCAGACUCCUACGGGAGGCAGCAGUGGGGAAUAUUGCACAAUGGGCGCAAGCCUGAUGCAGCAACGCCGCGUGAGGGAUGACGGCCUUCGGGUUGUAAACCUCUUUUAGUAGGGAAGAAGCGAAAGUGACGGUACCUGCAGAAAAAGCACCGGCUAACUACGUGCCAGCAGCCGCGGUAAUACGUAGGGUGCAAGCGUUGUCCGGAAUUAUUGGGCGUAAAGAGCUCGUAGGCGGCUUGUCGCGUCUGCUGUGAAAUCCCGGGGCUCAACCCCGGGCCUGCAGUGGGUACGGGCAAGCUAGAGUGCGGUAGGGGAGAUUGGAAUUCCUGGUGUAGCGGUGGAAUGCGCAGAUAUCAGGAGGAACACCG